AGAACCGUCUUCUAUCUAUUUGUCCAUCGUGUUCAGUCUUCUUUUACUUAAACCAACAGCCCCCGCCAUCCACUUCAUCUCCAGUUUACUUGUUGAAGUUUUUUUGCCUUGAUAGAAAAGGAUUACUACAUGAUGUUACUCAGGCUCUCUCUGAACUUGAGCUCACAAUUCAAAGAGUUAAGGUUACAACUACCCCAGAUGGCAGAGUCCUGGACCUCUUCUUCAUUACAGAUAACAUGGAGUUGCUACACACAAAAGAACGACAAGAUGAGACAUUUGAACAAUUGCAUGCUGUGUUAGGCGAAUCAUGUAUCAGCUGUGAACUUCAGCUGACAGGCCCUGAGUACGAGUGUCAUCAGGGCAUGUCUUCUCUUUCUCCUGUUAUUGCAGAAGAAUUAUUUUUUUGUGACAUAUCAGAUAAAGAAAUCCAUUCACAAGCUCUUAGUCCUGAUAUGACGAAAUUGAAAAAGACCAAUGUAACUAUAGACAAUUCAUUGAGCCCUGCUCAUACAUUGCUUCAAGUACACUGCAUUGAUCAAAAGGGUCUACUUUAUGAUGUAAUGAGAACUUUGAAAGACUGCAAUAUGCAGAUAGCUUAUGGUCGAUUCUCAGCAAACAACAAUGGAUAUCGUGAUUUAGACCUAUUUAUUCAGCAAAAGGAUGGGAAGAAGAUAGUGGAUCUGGAGAAGCAAAACGCAUUGUGUUCUCACUUGAAGGUUGAAAUGCUUCACCCAUUACGUGUGAUUAUUGCAAAUCGAGGGCCUGAUACUGAACUUCUGGUUGCUAAUCCAGUUGAACUAUCUGGAAAGGGAAGGCCACGAGUUUUCUAUGAUGUUACACUUGCUUUAGAAUCACUUGGGAUCUGUAUAUUCUCGGCUGAAAUAGGAAGAUAUUCCGCCUCAGAUCGUGAAUGGGAGGUCUACAGAUUUCUUCUAGAGGAGAAUGGAAAACUUCAGCUGUCGAAUAUUGUAGCUAGAAAUCAGAUAGUAGAUAGAGUUAGAAGAACACUAAUGGGCUGUUGAGUGGAUUCAUUUCUUUGUAAAUUGAUGUCACUAUGUAUAAUUUGUUCUCUACUCGGAUUACACGUUGGCCCUCAGUGAUCAGUUAUCUAUUUGUAUAGCAUGAAUUGAGUUGCAUAAGAUGCAC
rnacentral:misc_RNA from 1 species